rnacentral:rRNA from 1 species
CCUACGGGAGGCAGCAGUGAGGAAUUUUGCGCAAUGGGGGAAACCCUGACGCAGCAACGCCGCGUGAGUGAUGAAGGCUUUCGGGUCGUAAAGCUCUGUCGAGUGGGAAGAAAAUGUCGGAUGUUAAUACCAUCCGGCAUUGACGGUACCACUGAAGGAAGCACCGGCUAACUCCGUGCCAGCAGCCGCGGUAAUACGGGGGGUGCAAGCGUUAUUCGGAAUUAUUGGGCGUAAAGAGCGCGUAGGCGGCUCUAUAAGUCAGAUGUGAAAGCCCGGGGCUUAACCCCGGAAGUGCAUUUGAAACUAUAGGGCUUGAGUAUGGGAGAGGGAAGUGGAAUUCCUGGUGUAGAGGUGAAAUUCGUAGAUAUCAGGAGGAACACCGGUGGCGAAGGCGACUUCCUGGACCAAUACUGACGCUGAGGCGCGAAGGCGUGGGGAGCAAACAGGAUUAGAUACCCUGGUAGUCCACGCAGUAAACGUUGAACACUAGGUGUAGCGGGUAUUGACCCCUGCUGUGCCGCAGUUAACGCAUUAAGUGUUCCGCCUGGGAAGUACGACCGCAAGGUUAAAACUCAAAGGAAUUGACGG